UUUGAUGGCGACCGGCGCACGGGUGAGUAACACGUAUCCAACCUGCCGAUGACUCGGGGAUAGCCUUUCGAAAGAAAGAUUAAUACCCGAUGGCAUAGUUCUUCCGCAUGGUGGAACUAUUAAAGAAUUUCGGUCAUCGAUGGGGAUGCGUUCCAUUAGAUAGUAGGCGGGGUAACGGCCCACCUAGUCUUCGAUGGAUAGGGGUUCUGAGAGGAAGGUCCCCCACAUUGGAACUGAGACACGGUCCAAACUCCUACGGGAGGCAGCAUG
rnacentral:rRNA from 1 species